CUCCUCCUUUAAAACCAUCAGCUCCUUCCUCUCUACGAGCAAGGCCAGCUAGGGUUCAAAAAUUGGACAUUGGCUAUCCGGGUUUGCACACAGUUCAUCCCCCUCUUGAGUUCCAGAUUAGCUAUGUCGACGAUUUGGACCGGCUGGAGCGCGAAUUCCGACGGUUAUAAGAGUUGAAGACUGCCGGUACUUCAACGUACAUAGCCAUCCGGAUGGAAUCUCGUCUACAAGCAUGGCGCGACACUCGGGCUUCUACUGGACUUGAGAUUCAAACGCAACAAAGUCGGGUGGAUCAAAUGGAGGCCUUGGCUAUCUUGGGGAUGGCGAAGGAUGACUUGGAGCGUUCACAAGUUGUGAUAUCCGGAAAAUUGGAGCUCUCGAAAUAGAAGUUAGCCAAGAUCAAACAAGAGGCUGCGAAAACAUUAUCCCUCACCGAGGAAUCCUUCAAGGUUGCAUUGCAGUGUGAGCUUGAGCGAACUUAUACAGAGGAGUUGACUAAACUUGAUCAGCAAGUCCGUAGUCACAAACUUCAUGUAGAUUGAUUGUAACUCUUGUACCUGCAAACUCAAUUUUAUUAAUAGAAAAUAUGUCUUUUUUUCA